rnacentral:lncRNA from 1 species
CUGCCACAUUGUUGCCACCCUUUUCGUGCUCAGCUCCCCAACAGCUCUGGAGAAUCAAGUGAAUCUCAUGGGGGGGGUGGUUCUAUAUGCUUGGGGGAUAUGAGAUGAUGUUUGGAAUUAAUUUGUAAGCAGCAAUAGCUGGUUUUCCUCAAUGACGUGCAUACUCUUCCCUGGGGAAUUGAAAGUUGUCAGACCAAGGAUGUAAGUGAGCUAAUUUUUGUUGAUGAAGUAUGUGUCUUUCUAUUACAAGGUUGAAAUUCUUAAGCAAAACCUAAUUAAGGGAAUAAUAUUGAGCUGAAAGCAAGUGAGGGCAAGAGUUUCUCUUUGAUCAUGACAUAUUAAUAUAAGAGAGAGCAUCCUAAUGUAUUGCCAGCCUCUCCAUGAGCCCUUUGAGGGCAGGCCUACACUUUGGCAAUUCUCCCUGAAUAGACUUUGUCUUAGCACCCAAAGCAGCUUACUUCAAUCUUAGUCAGGGCCUCAUGGGAACUGAUGUGGUAGAGACUUGCUUUGGUAUUGGCCAGGAAUUCAGCAUCUUUUUUCUUGAGAUUGUAUUUGCAUACAUCCACUAUCUGUUGCUAUCUCAAGACAGAGAAGACAAUUUUGUCAUUGAAAGAGGUCAAGAGAAGUUGAGAUAAAGUGGCCCCAAAUGCACAAGAUACUGAUGAGGCAUGAUCCUAACAAGAACAAAAAGGGGAGCCACACAGUCUAAAGGAAAGAGUCAGAGACCAAAGUUUGUCCUUGGAAAUAAUUGAUGGGUUUUGGCUUGCUCUGUCUGCAAGAGUGAUCCUCUUGUAAACAAUGACACUUGCAUUUUGACCUUUGCAUUUUUUUAAGUUCUCUGAUAUCCAGAAAGAUAGAUGUCCUAUCAGCAGCAGCAGCAAUAGUGCAAGCAGCCCUGCCAACGACCUCUUGUGCUCCCACCUCCCAAGUGCCCAGCCCCAUGCCCACCGCCGAAGUGCCCAGUGCCAUGCCCACCUCCAGAGUUUCCACCUCAACUCUGCCAGCAGCAGUGUCCCCCUGUGCAGCCACCACCGUGCCAGCAGAAGUGACCACCCAGGAGCAGUAAGAGCAAAAGCCAUCAAGACCAUCGUGCAAACAAAUCACAGGGUCAGGCUCCUCUCUGAAUUAGGACCACUCUUCCCCAGAGCCCCAGGAAAAGCAUCGGGAACAAGUCUACCUUUCUUAAAAUACAGCCUUUCUUCGAUCUGUGCCUAAGACCUGGGCAAGGAUUAUUUUCUUUUCCUUUCUUCUUCUUUUUUUUUUUUUGUGGGGGGGGGGGGAGUGGGGGGAUUUGGAUAAAUAAAACUUUACUUCUCCUUCCCUAAUAAAGCA